UCCGGGAGUUGGUGAUGGACAGGGAGGCCCGGCGUGCUGUGAUUCAUGGGGUCACAAAGAGUCGGACACGACUGAGUGACUGAACUGAACUGAACUGAAACUGAACCAAGUAAUUACUUCUGCUUCAAAUGUCUUUUGUGUGAUGGGUUUAAAGUCCUUGCUUUUUUGCUCAACUCUCUUUCACCAAGAGAAAGAAUACACUAGGUAAUAAUUAUUAUAACAUAUCUACACACAUGUAAAUAUAUAAAUGCCCAUAUAAGGAAGGAUAUAAGU
rnacentral:lncRNA from 1 species